UACGAAGGGUGCAAGCGUUGUUCGGAAUCAUUGGGCGUAAAGCGCGCGCAGGCGGAUUGAUAAGUCAGGGGUGAAAUCUCGAGGCUCAACCUCGAAACUGCGCCUGAAACUAUUAGUCUAGAGUGUCGGAGGGGGCAGGGGAAUUUCACGUGUAGGGGUAAAAUCCGUAGAGAUGUGAAGGAACACCGGAGGCGAAGGCGCCUGCCUGGACGACUACUGACGCUGAGGCGCGAAAGCGUGGGGAGCAAACAGA
rnacentral:rRNA from 1 species